GAAGGUGAACACUUUUAGUCCUACCCGUAAACAUUAAGGACCAACCACACCCAAAACCUAAAUCGUCAGAGCUCUCGAGAAGAAGUAAAAGCCGCCGGAAAACGACGACUUUUUACGGCGACGGCGACACUUCUUCCAGCAGCUACUUCUUUUCAUUUUCGGGAUAGAAAAAUCAAAACAAAUGUCGAUAAAAGGUAGAAAGAUUGCUGGGAAGGGGGAGACAAUGGCAUCACAUUAUGCAUUUGGACAACUUGAAGACGAGAUAAUUAUUAAGCAUAGACUUCUGACUCGGACAACCACCACUAGAGGUGAACCGCCACUGAAGAAACUCCAAAAGAAGUUUACUACUUUUGCCUCGGAGAUAGAGAAGGAAGCUGAUAACUACGGAGAUUGUAAAAGACUUGCUAAAGCAUUCUUGCAAGAGCUUAAUGCGUUUGAGAUUCCGCUCCUAAAGAGCAAAACAGUAAUAGAUGCAAAUGUUAGAGAAAAGGAGAAUUUCAACGACCUGAAAGGUGAAAUCAACGUGCAGAUUUUACAAGCUCAGGCGGAUAUAGAAGAUCUCAAGAGGCAACUUGAAGAAAGCAAGGUUGAAAGGAAGCAUAAAGAAGAGGGUGAGGUGAUCAGGAAGUUGAUUGCUAUGCAACCUCCAAGAUCCGAAACUCAGAAGGUUUUAACAGAGCUUGAGAAAGAUUUAGCUGCGUUGGAAGCAGAGAAUACUGCUAGUUCAAGGACAUUGGACCUUCGAAAAAAGCAGUUUGCCCUUUUAUUGCAUGUGGUCGAUGAGUUGCAGAACACAAUAGAGGAAGAGCAGAGGAGUUUAGUCGAAGAGAUGAGGAACGUAGUCGAUGAUCAUAACAAGAGUGGAAUCGAGGAUGUUACUGUGGGUCCUGAGGCAAUGAUUGUGGAUUAGCUAGUGAAUCCCUAGCUUUUGUAUGCUCGGUUUACUCUUACGUAAGAUGAGGAUUGAGGGUUGUGGAUUCAUGGUGUUUAUAUGAUGUUUCUGAAAAUAAUGUUAUAUUUGGAUUGUCCAGAAAGCUUAAUUUCUGUUGAGAUUGCUCAGGGUCCAUUGGAUGACUUCUGCUAUGGGAGCUCAAUUUUGGGAUGUAUAACAUUAAGUGAAAUGGGUUUGGUCAUUGUCGUUUAGGAUUCUGUACUUUUUGUACACAUCUUGUACAAUAUCACAUUAUGGAUAGCUGCUGCUUUAUAUGUACAUUGUCUUCUUCGUAUCGGGAUGCGAAAUUUGGAGAGAGCAUGAGAGAUAAGUCUUGAACACCUCCACAUCUGACUUGCUUGAGAAUCAGCCUCCUUUUGCUUAUAUCUGUAGAUUACACUCCAGAAUUAUCAACUUAAUCAGCCUUCCCUCCUCUCUUGCACCCCACAAUUUUUUUUUUUUUCCGUUUCGUAAUUUUCUGUUGUAUCAUUCUGGAAUAUACAACAACAUAUCCAGUAUAUUCCCACAAGUGAGGUCUGGGUAUUAUUUUGGAAUAUGAGGAAGAAAUUGGUCAAAAAGACAUUUACAGAAGGAAUAGAGGUAAGUGGCCUUCUAAUUUCUUUUU